UCCUAAAGUGUCUUGUUUGUGCCAAGCU
rnacentral:piRNA from 1 species